ACGGCCCACCAAGGCGACGAUCAGUAGCCGACCUGAGAGGGUGACCGGCCACAUUGGGACUGAGACACGGCCCAAACUCCUACGGGAGGCAGCAGUGGGGAAUAUUGGGCAAUGGGGGAAACCCUGACCCAGCAACGCCGCGUGAAGGAAGAAGGCCUUCGGGUUGUAAAGCUCUAUCAGCAGGGAAGAAACUGACGGUACCUGACUAAGAAGCACCGGCUAAAUAC
rnacentral:rRNA from 1 species